CCUACGGGAGGCAGCAGUGGGGAAUAUUGGACAAUGGGGGGAACCCUGAUCCAGCCAUGCCGCGUGUGUGAAGAAGGCCCUCGGGUUGUAAAGCACUUUCAGUGAGGAAGAACGCCUGGUGGUUAAUACCCAUCAGGAAAGACAUCACUCACAGAAGAAGCACCGGCUAACUCCGUGCCAGCAGCCGCGGUAAUACGGAGGGUGCGAGCGUUAAUCGGAAUUACUGGGCGUAAAGCGCGCGUAGGUGGCUUGAUAAGCCGGGUGUGAAAGCCCCGGGCUCAACCUGGGAACGGCAUCCGGAACUGUCAAGCUAGAGUGCAGGAGAGGAAGGUAGAAUUCCCGGUGUAGCGGUGAAAUGCGUAGAGAUCGGGAGGAAUACCAGUGGCGAAGGCGGCCUUCUGGACUGACACUGACGCUGAGGUGCGAAAGCGUGGGUAGCAAACAGGAUUAGAUACCCGAGUAGUC
rnacentral:rRNA from 1 species